rnacentral:rRNA from 1 species
AUUGAACGCUGGCGGCAUGCUUUACACAUGCAAGUCGAACGGUAACAGGUUAAGCUGACGAGUGGCGAACGGGUGAGUGAUGCAUCGGAACGUGCCCGGUCGUGGGGGAUAACGCAACGAAAGUUGCGCUAAUACCGCAUACGAUCUGAGGAUGAAAGCGGGGGACCGUAAGGCCUCGCGCGAUCGGAGCGGCCGAUGUCAGAUUAGGUAGUUGGUGGGGUAAAGGCUCACCAAGCCAACGAUCUGUAGCUGGUCUGAGAGGACGACCAGCCACACUGGGACUGAGACACGGCCCAGACUCCUACGGGAGGCAGCAGUGGGGAAUUUUGGACAAUGGGCGAAAGCCUGAUCCAGCAAUGCCGCGUGCAGGAAGAAGGCCUUCGGGUUGUAAACUGCUUUUGUACGGAGCGAAAAGGCCUCCUCUAAUACAGGGGGCUCAUGACGGUACCGUAAGAAUAAGCACCGGCUAACUACGUGCCAGCAGCCGCCGUAA